AAGUCGUAACAAGGUUUCCGUAGGUGAACCUGCGGAAGGAUCAUUACCGAGUUCAUGGUCUUUUGUAAGGCCGACUCUCCAUACCCUGCGUAUGCAAAUCAUUACGUUAAUACACAAAGGCUCAUGUGUCUAAACAACCGAACAAAAAAAACAAAACAAAAACUUUCAACAACGGAUCUCUUGGUUCUG
rnacentral:misc_RNA from 1 species